rnacentral:rRNA from 1 species
UACAGAGGUCUCAAGCGUUGUUCGGAUUCAUUGGGCGUAAGGGGUGCGUAGGCGGCGCGGUAAGUCGGGUGUGAAAUCUCGGAGCUUAACUCCGAAACUGCAUUCGAUACUGCCGUGCUUGAGGACUGGAGAGGAGACUGGAAUUUACGGUGUAGCGGUGAAAUUCGUAGAUAUUCGCAAGAACACCAGUGGCGAAGGCGGCUCACUGGCCCGGAACUGACGCUGAGGUGCGAAAGCGUGGGGAGCAAACAGG